CGCUGGCGGCACGCCUAACACAUGCAAGUCGAACGAAGUAGCAAUACUUAGUGGCAGACGGGUGAGUAACAUGUAGGUAUCUGCCCUUUGGCCUGGAAUAACACGAGGAAACUUGUGCUAAUACCGGAUAAGUCUUUACGGAGAAAGCUUUAUGCACCAUUGGAUGAGCCUGCACUUGAUUAGUUUGUUGGUGGGGUAAUGGCCUACCAAGACUGUGAUCAAUAGCUGAUUUGAGAGGAUGAUCAGCCACAUUGGGACUGAGACACGGCCCAAACUCCUACGGGAGGCAGCAGUGGGGAAUCUUGCACAAUGGAGGAAACUCUGAUGCAGCGAUGCCGCGUGAGUGAAGAAGGCCCUUGGGUUGUAAAGCUCUUUCGUCGGGGAAGAAAAUGACUGUACCCGAAUAAGAAGGUCCGGCUAACUUCGUGCCAGCAGCCGCGGUAAUACGAAGGGACCUAGCGUAGUUCGGAAUUACUGGGCUUAAAGAGUUCGUAGGUGGUUGAAAAAGUUAGUGGUGAAAUCCCAGAGCUUAACUCUGGAACUGCCAUUAAAACUUUUCAGCUAGAGUAUGAUAGAGGAAAGCAGAAUUUCUAGUGUAGAGGUGAAAUUCGUAGAUAUUAGAAAGAAUACCAAUUGCGAAGGCAGCUUUCUGGAUCAUUACUGACACUGAGGAACGAAAGCAUGGGUAGCGAAGAGGAUUAGAUACCCUCGUAGUCCAUGCCGUAAACGAUGUGUGUUAGACGUUGGAAAUUUAUUUUCAGUGUCGCAGGGAAACCGAUAAACACACCGCCUGGGGAGUACG
rnacentral:rRNA from 1 species